rnacentral:rRNA from 1 species
GGGGGGACGGACUGGGAACGGUUCCUUCGGGGGCCUUCCCCGGGCGUCGAACAGCCAACUCAGAACUGGUACGGACAAGGGGAAUCCGACUGUUUAAUUAAAACAAAGCAUUGCGAUGGUCCCUGCGGAUGUUUACGCAAUGUGAUUUCUGCCCAGUGCUCUG